UACGUAGGGUGCGAGCGUUGUCCGGAAUUAUUGGGCGUAAAGAGCUCGUAGGCGGUUUGUCGCGUCGGCCGUGAAAACUUGGGGCUUAACUCCAAGCUUGCGGUCGAUACGGGCAGACUUGAGUUCGGCAGGGGAGACUGGAAUUCCUGGUGUAGCGGUGAAAUGCGCUGAUAUCAGGAGGAACACCGGUGGCGAAGGCGGGUCUCUGGGCCGAUACUGACGCUGAGGAGCGAAAGCGUGGGGAGCGAACAGG
rnacentral:rRNA from 1 species